AUGUACAGUGUCGGGAGAGGCAUCCAACAUGCGCAGCAAGCCAGUAACACAGGUGAUGAAGCGACACCAGAAAAGGACUCGCAUCCCCGGUGCCUACUCUGUUACCACCAUCUCGUCGGCUGCUCAUUCUCCCGCCAGCUAUGGUACCAAGUCCUUUCCUGGUUCUGAUCUACUGCUCUGCCGCCACACCCUGACGCCAUGUUGUACGAGUGGUGGAUCGAUGCCUGCUCGGCGGUGCCUUCCUCGUGUAGAAAAGGACUAGCAUCCUUGCUCCUCUUGGUUGCAUGGCACCUCUGGAAAGCACCGGAACGGCUGUGUUUUCGAUGGCUUGCAGUCCUCCAUACACGUCCUACUUCAGCUCAUCAAGAACGAUGCUCGCCUUUGGUACAGGGGUGGCGCGCUUGGAUUGGACAACUUUCUUCCCGAGUAGCCCCCAUGUGCCAUGUGGAUGUAACUUCUAUGUAUCUAUCAAUGAAUGAUACAUAA
rnacentral:rRNA from 1 species